rnacentral:misc_RNA from 1 species
CCGAGUUUACAACUCCCAAACCCCUGUGAACAUACCACUUGUUGCCUCGGCGGAUCAGCCCGCUACCGGUAAAACGGGACGGCCCGCCAGAGGACCCCUAAACUCUGUUUCUAUAUGUAACUUCUGAGUAAAACCAUAAAUAAAUCA